CUUUUGCUGGCGACCGGCGCACGGGUGAGUAACACGUAUCCAACCUGCCCUUUACUCGGGGAUAGCCUUUCGAAAGAAAGAUUAAUACCCGAUGGCAUAAUGAUUCCGCAUGUUCACAUAAUUAAAGGUAUUCCGGUAGACGAUGGGGAUGCGUUCCAUUAGAUAGUAGGCGGGGUAACGGCCCACCUAGUCUUCGAUGGAUAGGGGUUCUGAGAGGAAGGUCCCCCACAUUGGAACUGAGACACGGUCCAA
rnacentral:rRNA from 1 species